rnacentral:rRNA from 1 species
UACAGAGGGUGCAAACGUUGCUCGGAAUCAUUGGGCGUAAAGCGCACGUAGGCGGCUCAGCAAGCGGGGAGUGAAAGCCCUCGGCUUAACCGAGGAAGUGCUUUCCGAACUACUGAGCUUGAAUACCGGAGAGGAUCGCGGAAUUCCCGGUGUAGAGGUGAAAUUCGUAGAUAUCGGGAGGAACACCAGUGGCGAAGGCGGCUGUCUGGUCCGGUUCUGACGCUGAGGCGCGAAAGCGUGGGGAGCAAACAGG